rnacentral:lncRNA from 1 species
CUCCCAACGGCACAAAUACUCUCCUGCAUGUCCAGCAGAGGAAACGACGUGGGAGAGCCAUCCCAGUCCUCAAAGGUCAGCACUUUCAUCCUUCUGGAGAGGCACAAACCUGCUCUCAGCUGCCAGGCUGCACCCAGUCCCAGGAAGGCAAGAGAUAUGGAGGAAGCCUUAGGAAGAGAAGAGCCUUUCACUGUCUGCAGCUACCCCGUUUUCCUGUCUGUUUCCAAAGCUUCCACUCUGGAGGAUUCAGCUCUGGCGUUAGACAGCUUGGAUCUUCAGAGGCCCCUAAAGGCCCACUGGCGCCUACAGUGGCUCCUUUGGAAGACGUGAGGUGAGUACUUGUCUCUCGCACCAUGUACUGGCACUGUAGGCCCGAAGCCUUGGGGCAGAUGUGUCCCGAGACUGCACUCGAAAUAAACUUCUUCUCUGUC